CGAUAAGGUCUCUUCGGAGACACAUAAGUGGCGGACGGGUGAGUAAUAUGUAGAGAAUCUGCCCUAGAGUGGGGGACAACAGUUGGAAACGACUGCUAAUACCGCAUAUGAGCGUAGCUGAAAUGCUAUUCUUGAAAACUCCGGUGCUCUAGGAUGAGUCUGCAUCUGAUUAGCUAGUUGGGGGUGUAAUGGACCACCAAGGCGACGAUCAGUAGCUGGUUUGAGAGGAUGAUCAGCCACAAUGGGACUGAGACACGGCCCAUACUCCUACGGGAGGCAGCAGUAGGGAAUUUUGCGCAAUGGGCGAAAGCCUGACGCAGCAACGCCGCGUGACCGAUGAAGCCCUUCGGGGUGUAAAGGUCUGUCAGUGGGGACGAAAUCUGACGGUACCCACAGAGGAAGCAUCGGCUAACUCCGUGCCAGCAGCCGCGGUAAUACGGGGGAUGCAAGCGUUGUCCGGAAUCAUUGGGCGUAAAGAGUUCGUAGGUGGUUUGUUAAGUUUGGUGUUAAAUGCAGGGGCUCAACUUCUGUUCGGCAUCGGAUACUGGCAGACUAGAAUGCGGUAGAGGUAAAGGGAAUUCCUGGUGUAGCGGUGAAAUGCGUAGAUAUCA
rnacentral:rRNA from 1 species